ACCCGGUUAGCUCAAUCGGUAGAGCAUCAGACUCUUAAUCUGAGGGCUGCGAGUUCGAGUCUCGUACUGGGUG
rfam:Vittaforma corneae ATCC 50505 unplaced genomic scaffold supercont1.22, whole genome shotgun sequence.